rnacentral:rRNA from 1 species
UACGUAGGGUGCGAGCGUUGUCCGGAAUUACUGGGCGUAAAGAGCUCGUAGGUGGUUUGUCGCGUUGUUCGUGAAAACUCACAACUCAAUUGUGGGCGUGCGGGCGAUACGGGCAGGCUUGAGUUCGGUAGGGGAGACUGGAAUUCCUGGUGUAGCGGUGAAAUGCGUAGAUAUCUGGAGGAACACCGGUGGCGAAGGCGGCAUCCUGGACCAAUUCUGACGCUGAGUGAGCGAAAGCCAGGGGAGCAAACGGG